AAUGUAAGAUUUCAAUCCUCUUUAUUUCUAUUUUCAGAUCUAUAAUCUGAUUUUAUCAUGUAUGUUGGAUCUGUUGGGAAUAGUAUCCCAAAGCCAAUCGCUAGCCUGUUGACGGUUGUGCUCUUUCUUGUAUUAGCAUAUGAAUUAUAAAUAAAUAAAAGUUAUUUUAACAUUUUUCAUCAUAAAUUGUUUCAUCUUCUAAUGAACUCCUGUGUUGUGGUGAAGUCCUUAGGAC
rnacentral:lncRNA from 1 species